AACUCUGCUCGUAGAAGAGCGUAGAGAGUAGAGUAAGAGAGUAGAAGAGCGAUCGGACGCCUGGACGUUUUAAAUGAUGUGACGCUUAAAGCCCUUCUAAACACCAGUCUGGAAAUAUAACCAUAUUCCUUAGACGAUCGAUCCACUUGGAGACUGUUAGAAGUAGCGACGCCUGAGUGAGGAUUUAACGAGUUGUUCCUUUUCUUUUUCAUUUAAAUGGAUUGCAUAUUUUUAUUUGAACUUUAAUUAACUUCUUUGAACGAAUUAAAUUCUUAUAACUACAGAUGAAUACACAUUUUGUAUUAAAUAUUUUAUAGAAUUUGUCUUGUUCGAUUUCCAAGAUCCAAUGUUUUAUGGAAUUGGAUGACGAAACUCCUGAGCGGAACCCACAAGUUCUCAGAGCUGGCCAUCCAGCCAGGAUCGGGCAGAUCCCUGCCGCAACGGCAACACCCUCUCAGAGGCGACCACCAUAUCAGGACGAUCUGUGGCAUCCACAAUUUUGAAGUGCUUACGCAACCCCCAGCCACGCGCUUACUCAUCCUCUCCCUCAGACACUCUUCCUGGUGCAGUGUGUGGCAUCUGGCGGAAAGGAACCCACAUAUUGACUGAGCGACUGAUUACCCAAGAGAUUAGAUUGGAUUCUGGAGAAGGGAUCGGCACAUUUUAAGGACUACAUUUCCGUAAGUA